CUUCCCCCACAUUUUUCCCUCAUUUCCACAGCUGCUCCUUCAUCCUCAGAAAUCGAGCACCCCCAAACAGUAAUAUCAACAGCCGCAAAGAUGACACCGCAGAUCACAUCCCUAUCUGAUUCCAACACAUUCAUGGAAGCUGCAGAAUGCUGAUUCGACAUAGAAAAGAACGGUAAAUGUCUGGAGCUUAUCUAAAAAGGAAAGGUGCACUGUCCGUUACCGCCGCUAAAAUUUUCUGAUCAGUAAGCAGCUGUUCUAUAAUUAGAUUUGUCAGAGUAUUCAUGCAUUCUUGCUGCUUAAUGGGUUGCCUUGGAGUCUCAGGAAAAUGCAUGAGUGGCACACAAACUUUUGUAGGAGUAGAUUCUAUGGAAGUUUCAAGGUCAUCAGGGGCUGUUUCCUCCUUUGGGCGUGAAUAACAGGCAAACGGCUCCUCGGUUCCUGCACCAACCUCUUGAUCAUCAUAACUUCUCCCACGGUUUACUGCUUGAAUUUGAAAUCCUUGAUUGGUUAUUUCUACGCACAAUUCAAUUGAUUCCAACAAUUUAGAUAGUUUGUCCGCCACCAAAAGCUCUUGUGGCACAUUAAGCCGCUCAAAAUACUGCCCAAGAUGCUCUUUCAAACUUUGAGUGUAGAACUUUGAAUGGGGAUUGUUCCAGUUCCAUUUUGAA